AUUGAACGCUGGCGGCAGGCCUAACACAUGCAAGUCGAGCGGAUGAAGGGAGCUUGCUCCUGGAUUCAGCGGCGGACGGGUGAGUAAUGCCUAGGAAUCUGCCUGGUAGUGGGGGAUAACGUCCGGAAACGGGCGCUAAUACCGCAUACGUCCUGAGGGAGAAAGUGGGGGAUCUUCGGACCUCACGCUAUCAGAUGAGCCUAGGUCGGAUUAGCUAGUUGGUGGGGUAAAGGCCUACCAAGGCGACGAUCCGUAACUGGUCUGAGAGGAUGAUCAGUCACACUGGAACUGAGACACGGUCCAGACUGCUACGGGAGGCAGCAGUGGGGAAUAAUGGACAAUGGGCGAAAGCCUGAUACAGCCAUGCCGCGUGUGUGAAGAAGGUCUUCGGAUUGUAAAGCACUUUAAGUUGGGAGGAAGGGCAGUAAGAUAAUACAUUGCUGUUUUGACGUUACCAACAGAAUAAGCACCGGCUAACUUCGUG
rnacentral:rRNA from 1 species